CGAGCACCUUGCUCCCUCACCUGCGCGAGCACGCGGCUGGCCGGCGGCGCCCUGCAGCGGUGCGGGCGUGCUGCAUUCAGCCUGUGUAGCGAGAUUUGAGGCUUCCCGACCUGAGAGGUUAAACAAGGGAAGGAGGCACACAUCUU